rnacentral:rRNA from 1 species
UACGUAGGGGGCGAGCGUUGUCCGGAAUUAUUGGGCGUAAAGAGCGUGUAGGCGGUUCGGUAAGUCUGCCGUGAAAACCUGAGGCUCAACCUCGGGCGUGCGGUGGAUACUGCCGGGCUAGAGGACGGUAGAGGCGAGUGGAAUUCCCGGUGUAGCGGUGAAAUGCGCAGAUAUCGGGAGGAACACCAGAGCGAAGGCGGACUCGCUGGGCCGUUCCUGACGCUGAGACGCGAAAGCUAGGGGAGCGAACAGG